GGGGUGCACCAGGCGCGAAAACUUUACAAUGCCGGCAACGGCGAUAAGGGGACCUCGAGUGCCAGGUUACAAAUCUGGCUGUCGUGAUGCCUAAAAAGCAUUGCAUAGCAAGGGCCGGGCAAGACCGGUGCCAGCCGCCGCGGUAACACCGGCGGCUCGAGUGGUAACCGUUAUUAUUGGGUCUAAAGGGUCUGUAGCCGGCCGGAUAAGUCUCUUGGGAAAUCUGGCAGCUUAACUGUCAGGCUUUCAGGAGAUACUGUCUGGCUCGAGGCCGGGAGAGGUGAGAGGUACUUCAGGGGUAGGGGUGAAAUCUUGUAAUCCUUGAAGGACCACCAGUGGCGAAGGCGUCUCACCAGAACGGACCUGACGGCAAGGGACGAAAGCUAGGGGCACGAACCGGAUUAGAUACCCGGGUAGUCCUAGCCGUAAACGAUACUCGCUAGGUGUCGGCCACGGUGCGACCGUGGUCGGUGCCGUAGGGAAGCCGUGAAGCGAGCCACCUGGGAAGUACGGCCGCAAGGCUGAAACUUAAAGGAAUUGGCGGGGGAGCACAAGGGCGAUUCGCG
rnacentral:rRNA from 1 species